rnacentral:rRNA from 1 species
CGCGUAGGUGGCCUGGUAAGUAGGGGGUGAAAUCUCGAGGCUCAACUUCGAGGCUGCCUCCUAAACUGUCAGGCUUGAGCAGAGUAGAGGCAGGUGGAAUUCCCGGUGUAGCGGUGGAAUGCGUAGAGAUCGGGAAGAACAUCGGUGGCGAAGGCGGCCUGCUGGGCUCUCGCUGACACUGAUGCGCGACAGCGUGGGGAGCAAACA